AAGACUUAGGUGGAUGUCACCCA
rnacentral:snRNA from 1 species